UGAACAAUUCAUUCAGGCAGCAAGUGUUUCCACCAAUAAAAUAAAAAGAAUUGAUUUCAUCCAGAAGAACUGUUUUUGAACUGUGGACUGUUUGAAAUAUUUUGCACCUGCUCAGAAAUCCCUUCACAGCUUGUCUUUGAAUUUGAAAGGCUGUUUUUAAUUAAAUAAAUUUUCUAGAUAACUAA